rnacentral:rRNA from 1 species
GACGAACGCUGGCGGCGUGCUUAACACAUGCAAGUCGAACGAAGUGGCGAACGGGUGAGUAACGCGUAAUCAACCUGCCCUUCAGAGGGGGACAACAGUUGGAAACGACUGCUAAUACCGCAUACUGAAGGAGGGGAUUGCGUCUGCUGAGCUAGUUGGAGGGGUAACGGCCCCACAAGGCGAUGAUCAGUAGCCGGUCUGAGAGGAGGGACGGGCAAAUUGGGACUUGGAAACGGCCCAGACUCCUACGGGAGGCAGCAGUGGGGAAUCAUCCGCAAUGGACGGAAAUCUGACGGAGCAAAGCCGCGGGAGUGAUGACGGCCUUCGGGUUGUAAAGCUCUGUUAAUCGGGACGCGGUACCGGAAUAGAAAGCCACGGCUAACUACGUGCCAGCAGCCGCGGUAAUAC